AAUCAGAGAACGGCCGAGAAUGGAAACCCGUCGGUCGCUAGCCAGCAGUGUAUACAGAAGCUGUAAUUCUGUUUGUUUCUGACUCAUAAUAUAACUUGAAACAUGGUGGCAGCGGUAAAAAGUUACAUAUUUCCAUAGAACAGUUAUUAUUCUUCUCCCUAAAUUCUAUUAUGUAUCUGCAAACUGUGAUUUGGCCUGGAUUUCGCCAGCUUUCUGAGAGUAAUUCCUGCAUGUGUCCCACAUAUAAUCCCCGAAUCUCGCAUGUCCUUUGUAGCUGUAGGAUGAGAGGAGAUGAGAUGCAGUCUAGUUGUCUUUCCGUAUUCUGCAGUGAAGUUGGACGUAUUUGGAUGGUGGAAACCUGCACUCCUGAUUGAACAGUAUUUUAUUUUGGCUCUAUAAGACUUAAAGCUGACGCUUAGUGACAAGAAAACAAGUUACAGAUGUGGGAAGACUCUGGAAACCUUUGAAGGAAGGAUGAUGCCUUUUUCCUUUGAUGGCAAAGAAUUCUUUCCCGUGGAAGAGCUCGGUAAAGUUGAUAAUGAGCUCUCUCUUUAUCACACAUGUAGAAGACUUUCCUGUUGCAUUGCUGCUUCGCUGUGCCCCUGCUGAGGUGUUGCAGAGGUCUCGUCCAAGGGGACCCCCUAGAUCCGACGCUCUCUGCAUAUUUUUCGUCGUAAGCUUUCUGCUCUUUCUAAGCACGUCUGUUAAAAAGACCUUCUCACCGCAUCCAUGAGACCCUCCCAAAUGACUGCAAUAGCAUACUGAUACAUCCCAUCUUCUCGUGAUUCGUCAGUUUGAUGUUCACAGACUGGACAUUUCCAACCUUCUCCUAGAGAUUUAUAGGUUUGUAAAUACAUGAAUAUUUAAAUACAAUAAUAUCAGACACAUUUAGGACAAAUGCAUGCUUGCUUGAUCAAGUGUAGUAAUGGAUGAAGAGUUUGUAUCACACUUUGUUUUUAUCUUUUAAUAGAAUUGGAAUGCGUUUGUAUCACUGAUCUUGGUGAAAGAUGAGAUUUACGUUUUAUAUGAACGAAAAGUCAAUUUUAAAUGGUUUUGAUCUCUUUUAUCCGUAGUUGAUAACAUUUGGAGAUUUUAAUGCUUUAAAUUGACAUUCAAAGACUUCAAUAGGUAGAAUUAUUUUGCAAUUGUUUGUUUUCUAGGUCUGUGCUAGCAAGCCUUACAUUCCUUACAUCACUCAGUAACCAUUAGCUAAUGCACAUGUUCAACCCUCUCUAUAUGGUGGUUGUGCGUGUAAUUUAAGAUUUAAUUUUUCUUUUUCAAAAGUGAUUUCACUGUGAUUAUGCAGAUUUUUGUGUUCAUUUACUUCAGAGGUUUUCAAGUGGGUCCCUAUAUAGUCUGUUAAAUUGUGCUGUCAAACCAGUACCCUUUCACACAAGUAUUGAUGUAUUCUAUAAAUGACUUUAA